rnacentral:rRNA from 1 species
CUACGGGCGGCAGCAGUGGGGAAUAUUGGACAAUGGGGGGAACCCUGAUCCAGCCAUGCCGCGUGUGUGAAGAAGGCCCUCGGGUUGUAAAGCACUUUCAGUGAGGAAGAACGCCUGGUGGUUAAUACCCAUCAGGAAAGACAUCACUCACAGAAGAAGCACCGGCUAACUCCGUGCCAGCAGCCGCGGUAAUACGGAGGGUGCGAGCGUUAAUCGGAAUUACUGGGCGUAAAGCGCGCGUAGGUGGCUUGAUAAGCCGGUUGUGAAAGCCCCGGGCUCAACCUGGGAACGGCAUCCGGAACUGUCAAGCUAGAGUGCAGGAGAGGAAGGUAGAAUUCCCGGUGUAGCGGUGAAAUGCGUAGAGAUCGGGAGGAAUACCAGUGGCGAAGGCGGCCUUCUGGACUGACACUGACACUGAGGUGCGAAAGCGUGGGUAGCAAACAGGAUUAGAUACCCGAGUAGUC